AUGGGGAAGAAGACUGCAGCGAAGAAACCCCGAGGACGCAAGACAACAGAAGCACCACUACAUCCUUUGGAGGAGUCGCGCAUCAGAACAUGCAUAAGGAACAAUUCAAGGCUGCAAGCACUCGGAAUUCCUGCACUAUCGACAUUGUUUGCAGCCAAAACUGUCAUUUCACCUGAAAAAAAACCUAAGCAUAGUAGUGAUGAUUCUGAAGCUGAGUACCAUCCUAACGAGGACAAUACCAGUGAAGGAGAGUCAUCCGAUGAUAGUUUAGUAGAUGAAACAGAAGCACUGCAGUCCACACCUGCUGCUAGCUCAAACUCUAAGGUGCUAAUUUCCUCCAUCUAG
rnacentral:rRNA from 1 species